AUUGGACAGAGCAUCUGCGGCUUCAGCACGACACACUGUUAUUGAUGUGACAAUCCCGGAGGGGCGGCCGCGGAGAAGCACAUCGGACGUACUCCAAAUUCAUAAACAAAAGUGCUCUGAUGUGAUGCUUCCUACGUGUAGCUGCCGUUCUUAGCUCCAGGCCCCCCAGGCCCCUGCCAUGGGAGCUGGUGACAGGUGGCUCAUUGUCACCCUUGCGUUUCCCUGUGUUGGAAGU
rnacentral:lncRNA from 1 species